rnacentral:rRNA from 1 species
UGCUAUACAUGCAGUAGAACGCUGAAGAGAGGAGCUUGCUCUUCUUGGAUGAGUUGCGAACGGGUGAGUAACGCGUAGGUAACCUGCCUUGUAGCGGGGGAUAACUAUUGGAAACGAUAGCUAAUACCGCAUAACAAUGGAUGACACAUGUCAUUUAUUUGAAAGGGGCAAUUGCUCCACUACAAGAUGGACCUGCGUUGUAUUAGCUAGUAGGUGAGGUAAUGGCUCACCUAGGCGACGAUACAUAGCCGACCUGAGAGGGUGAUCGGCCACACUGGGACUGAGACACGGCCCAGACUCCUACGGGAGGCAGCAGUAGGGAAUCUUCGGCAAUGGGGGCAACCCUGACCGAGCAACGCCGCGUGAGUGAAGAAGGUUUUCGGAUCGUAAAGCUCUGUUGUAAGUCAAGAACGGGUGUGAGAGUGGAAAGUUCACACUGUGACGGUAGCUUACCAGAAAGGGACGGCUAACUACGUGCCAGCAGCCGCGGUAAUACGUAGGUCCCGAGCGUUGUCCGGAUUUAUUGGGCGUAAAGCGAGCGCAGGCGGUUUGAUAAGUCUGAAGUUAAAGGCUGUGGCUCAACCAUAGUUCGCUUUGGAAACUGUCAAACUUGAGUGCAGAAGGGGAGAGUGGAAUUCCAUGUGUAGCGGUGAAAUGCGUAGAUAUAUGGAGGAACACCGGUGGCGAAAGCGGCUCUCUGGUCUGUAACUGACGCUGAGGCUCGAAAGCGUGGGGAGCGAACAGGAUUAGAUACCCUGGUAGUCCACGCCGUAAACGAUGAGUGCUAGGUGUUGGAUCCUUUCCGGGAUUCAGUGCCGCAGCUAACGCAUUAAGCACUCCGCCUGGGGAGUACGACCGCAAGGUUGAAACUCAAAGGAAUUGACGGGGGCCCGCACAAGCGGUGGAGCAUGUGGUUUAAUUCGAAGCAACGCGAAGAACCUUACCAGGUCUUGACAUCCCGAUGCUAUUUCUAGAGAUAGAAAGUUACUUCGGUACAUCGGUGACAGGUGGUGCAUGGUUGUCGUCAGCUCGUGUCGUGAGAUGUUGGGUUAAGUCCCGCAACGAGCGCAACCCCUAUUGUUAGUUGCCAUCAUUCAGUUGGGCACUCUAGCGAGACUGCCGGUAAUAAACCGGAGGAAGGUGGGGAUGACGUCAAAUCAUCAUGCCCCUUAUGACCUGGGCUACACACGUGCUACAAUGGUUGGUACAACGAGUUGCGAGUCGGUGACGGCGAGCUAAUCUCUUAAAGCCAAUCUCAGUUCGGAUUGUAGGCUGCAACUCGCCUACAUGAAGUCGGAAUCGCUAGUAAUCGCGGAUCAGCACGCCGCGGUGAAUACGUUCCCGGGCCUUGUACACACCGCCCGUCACACCACGAGAGUUUGUAACACCCGAAGUCGGUG